UUGAACGCUGGCGGCAUGCCUUACACAUGCAAGUCGAACGGCAGCACGGAGCAAUCCUGGUGGCGAGUGGCGAACGGGUGAGUAAUAUAUCGGAACGUGCCCAGUCGUGGGGGAUAACGUAGCGAAAGCUACGCUAAUACCGCAUACGAUCUAUGGAUGAAAGCGGGGGAUCGCAAGACCUCGCGCGAUUGGAGCGGCCGAUAUCAGAUUAGGUAGUUGGUGAGGUAAAGGCUCACCAAGCCGACGAUCUGUAGCUGGUCUGAGAGGACGACCAGCCACACUGGGACUGAGACACGGCCCAGACUCCUACGGGAGGCAGCAGUGGGGAAUUUUGGACAAUGGGCGCAAGCCUGAUCCAGCAAUGCCGCGUGCAGGAUGAAGGCCUUCGGGUUGUAAACUGCUUUUGUACGGAACGAAACGGUGAGCUCUAAUACAGUUUGCUAAUGACGGUACCGUAAGAAUAAGCACCGGCUAACUACGUG
rnacentral:rRNA from 1 species